ACCAUUUGUGUCCUUUUAUAUAAGUUGCUGGUCUCUUUUUGUUCAAGCCUUAUUUGUUGGUUAAUUUACCCAAUAGGCCGUAACAUUGUCAAGACAACGACAGAAAACCUUCAUGUAUCGACCUCUGAGUGUUCUGACCGUAAAGCUCUUUCUGCAUGAAGCUGAAACGUCUAUGACCUCACUCUGGGCAGCUACUGUUGCGGGGCUCACGGUGCAUCAGUCAAUGUCCUAACACAAGGAGCUGACAGAGGUGCAUUCAAGAGCACUUCAAGAAGAGCAUCAUCUGUCCAAUUGCCAUCUGAGGAGCUGGAAGUUGCAGAUGUCAGGCUGGGCUGCGUUCUGCAGACAUGCUGCAGGAGGAGCCCCUUUCUGUGGAGAUGUUGCAGCUGCUGCAGGGGCCACUUUGUGGGGAUUUCUGUGAAGCACAGUGUCCAAGCUGCUGGUGCUCCUUGAUCUGACAAUCAUGUAUACUAAAACAUACAGAAGAUGAUGGUUAAUUUAAGAAGAACACACUUAAAAAAUGAUUUAGUCUUGUAAUUGCGAGAUCUUGAAAAUUGCCGUUCACAGACGCUCUCUAUCAAAUCUGAGUUUGAGCUAUUUUGCAAAGAGAAAUGGGCAAAAAUUUCAGUCUCUAGAUGUGCAAAAUUGGUAGAGAUAUACCCUUAAAGACUUGCAGCUGUAAUUGCAGCCAAAGGUGGUACUACAAAGUAUUGACUCUAGGGGCUGAAUACUUUUGCACACCACACUUUUCAGAUUUUCAUGUGUAAAGAAUUGAUUAAUUUUCCUUUCUACUUUACAAUUAUGUGCCACUUUGUGUUGGUCUAUUGUGCAAAAUCCCAAUAAAAUGUAUUUACGUUUGUGGUUGUAACAUGAAGAAAUGUGGAAAGUUCUAGGGGUAUGAAUACUUUGCAAGCCACUGUACUUCCCCAAAGUCAGGAUCAGCUGGCCAAAAUAUUUUACCUCUGUAGGAGAUGUAAACAUUUGCAAACUGGAAGGUUUUACAUCUCUUUAUUUCAACUUUCUCAAUAAGUAAACCUGCAAUGGAGUAAAAGACAUGUAAAGG